rnacentral:misc_RNA from 1 species
CGUCAACGACACAGCACAGAAUUCGUUCUUGUUCGUGUAUUAUAUUCGCUGCUCUGUACACCCGUUUUUUCCUGUUACAUUUAUAGAUGCAAUAGGAGACCUUUUUGUUGUUUUUACCCGUUCCAUAAAGGAUUAGCAUCUGUAUGCCGGGACACAAGACUGGUGAUGUACAAAUGAAUUGUGUUGGUUUGGGUUUUUAUUUAUUUAUUUAUUUUGCCUGAGAUUUCAAUUUCAAAAAAAAAAAAAAAAAAAAAA